rnacentral:rRNA from 1 species
AUUGAACGCUGGCGGCAUGCUUUACACAUGCAAGUCGAACGGUAACAGGCCGCAAGGUGCUGACGAGUGGCGAACGGGUGAGUAAUGCAUCGGAACGUGCCCAGUCGUGGGGGAUAACUACUCGCAAGAGUAGCUAAUACCGCAUACGAUCUAUGGAUGAAAGCGGGGGACCGUAAGGCCUCGCGCGAUUGGAGCGGCCGAUGUCAGAUUAGGUAGUUGGUGGGGUAAAGGCUCACCAAGCCAACGAUCUGUAGCUGGUCUGAGAGGACGACCAGCCACACUGGGACUGAGACACGGCCCAGACUCCUACGGGAGGCAGCAGUGGGGAAUUUUGGACAAUGGGCGCAAGCCUGAUCCAGCAAUGCCGCGUGCAGGAAGAAGGCCUUCGGGUUGUAAACUGCUUUUGUACGGAACGAAACGGCUCUGGUUAAUACCCGGGGCUAAUGACGGUACCGGAAGAAUAAGCACCGGCUAACUACGUG